GGGAAAUGAGGAGUGGUACGAACUCGCAAGUUUAUGCGACGAGGGGUGCCCGCCCCAACUAAGCCUGUUACGACAACAGGGCACCCUCAUGAUUUACCAUCUGAUCCC